AUGAUUGCCUUAGUAACGGCGAGUGAAGAGGCAAAAGCUCAAGUUUGGAAGCUCAAUGGUUUAACCAUUGCGCAUUGUAAACUGAAAACAGGAUCAAUCAGGUACACCGGGUGAUAAGUUCCUUGGAAUAGGACAUCAUGGAGGGUGAGAAUCCCGUCUUUGACCCGAGUCUUAGUAUCUUUUGUAUUGGCCUGUUCAAGAGUCAGGUUGUUUGGGAAUGCAGCCUAAAGCUGGAGGUAAAUCCCUCCUGAAGCUAAAUAAUGGCGAGAGACCGAUAGCGAACAAGUACCGUGAGGGAAAGAUGAAAAGAACUCUGAAGAGAGAGUUAAACAGUACGUGAAAUUGCUUAAAGGGAAGCAUAUAAAGCUAGGAUGCGAUUGUUUUCUUCAGGUUGAGCUUUGGCUUGACUGUUCAGAAGGAUAAUCCAAGACAACAAGAAUUGGAGGAGGAGAAUAAGCCAUUGGGGAAGGUAAUCCUUCGGGAUGUUUAUAGACCUGAUGGUUCGCGCUCUUCUUUCGAUUGAGGUACGCUUUUUUUUUUAAAGGUUGUUGUCUGAAUGGCUUUAUAUGGC
rnacentral:rRNA from 1 species